rnacentral:rRNA from 1 species
UGGGGGAUAUUGCACAAUGGGCGAAAGCCUGAUGCAGCGACGCCGCGUGGGGGAUGAAGGCCUUCGGGUUGUAAACUUCUUUUGCUCUGAACAAGGCGCACCAUGGGGUGUGUUGAGUGUAGGGGUUGAUUAGCGCCGGCUAACUACGUGCCAGCAGCCGCGGUAAUACGUAGGGCGCGAGCGUUGUCCGGAAUUAUUGGGCGUAAAGGGCUUGUAGGUGGCUGGUUGCGUCUGUCGUGAAAGCUCAUGGCUUAACUGUGGGUUUGCGGUGGGUACGGGCUGGCUUGAGUGCAGUAGGGGAGGCUGGAAUUCCUGGUGUAGCGGUGGAAUGCGCAGAUGUCAGGAGGAAUACCGGUGGCGAAGGCGGGUCUCUGGGCUGUUACUGACACUGAGGAGCGAAAGCAUGGGGAGCGAACAGG